CCUGCCCACUGAUAGUUUUUAAAGGGCCGCGGUAAUUUGACCGUGCAAAGGUAGCAUAAUCGUUAGUUUUUUAAUUGGAAUCUUGUAUGAAUGGUUGAACAAAAGAAUAUCUGUCUCUAAUAUCUUUUUUGAAUUUAACUUUUAAGUGAAAAGGCUUAAAUGUUUUAAAAAGACGAUAAGACCCUGUAAAGCUUAAUGGAUUUUAUUAUGGAGUUGAAUUGGUGUAUAAGAGCUUGGUAAAGAAACUCUAUUUUGUUGGGGCGACAAUGAUAAAAUGUUCUUUAACUGUUUACGUUGAAAGACAAAUGUAAGUGAUUAAAAAUGUAAAUGAUCCUUAAUUUAAAGAUUAAAAGUUUAAGUUACUUCAGGGAUAACAGCGUUAUUCUUUUUGAGAGUUCAUAUCGAAAAAAGAGUUUGCGACCUCGAUGUUGAAUUAAAAUUUCUAUAUAAUUGCAGAAGU
rnacentral:rRNA from 1 species